rnacentral:rRNA from 1 species
AACGAACGCUGGCGGCAUGCCUAACACAUGCAAGUCGAACGAGACCUUCGGGUCUAGUGGCGCACGGGUGCGUAACGCGUGGGAACCUGCCCUUAGGUUAGGAAUAACUCCCCGAAAGGGGUGCUAAUACCGGAUAAUGUCUUCGGACCAAAGAUUUAUCGCCUUUGGAUGGGCCCGCGUUGGAUUAGCUAGUUGGUAGGGUAAAAGCCUACCAAGGCGACGAUCCAUAGCUGGUCUGAGAGGAUGAUCAGCCACACUGGGACUGAGACACGGCCCAGACUCCUACGGGAGGCAGCAGUGGGGAAUAUUGGACAAUGGGCGAAAGCCUGAUCCAGCAAUGCCGCGUGAGUGAUGAAGGCCUUAGGGUUGUAAAGCUCUUUUACCCGGGAUGAUAAUGACAGUACCGGGAGAAUAAGCGCCGGCUAACUCCGUG